AGCUGACAGUACCCCAAACGGACCAAAAAAAUGCUCAAGGGAUCAAUCUUCACAUUGCCCUCUUGAGCUCGUGCUAGCUUCUUCGGCGACCAACUGGUUCCAGAGAUUGGACUGCUGAGUUAUUCUAUACCGCAUUUGUUCAUCGCCCUUCGGCGGUUUUGUUGCUUCCUCCGAUGACCCAGUACUCCUUCACUGCGACCAGUAUCUUCUCUGAGACAAGGGGGCCGUUUUCGUGAUCGACCAUCUUCGUCUUCCAUCUCAUUCCGCUGGCCAACCUAUUCACCUUUAUGAGG
rnacentral:misc_RNA from 1 species